GGUACUGAUAUCAGGAAGCAGCUGACUGGACCGACAGGUACUGGUAUCAGGAAGCAGCUGACUGGACAGACAGGUACUGAUAUCAGGAAGCAGCUGACUGGACCAACAGGUACUGGUAUCAGGAUGCAGCUGACUGGACCGACAGGUACUGAUAUCAGGAAGCAGCUGACUGGACCGACAGGUACUGGUAUCAGGAAGCAGCUGACUGGACAGACAGGUACUGAUAUCAGGAAGCAGCUGACUGGACCAACAGGUACUGAUAUCAGAAAGCAGCUGACUGGACAGACAGGUACUGAUAUCAGAAAGCAGCUGACUGGACCAACAGGUACUGACAUCCUGGACCGACAGGUACUGAUUUCAGGAAGCAGCUGACUGGACAGACAGGUACUGAUAUCAAUCAGGAAGGAGCUGACUGGACCGACAGGUACUGAUAUCAGGAAGCAGCUGACUGGACAGACAGGUACUGACAUCAGGAAGCAGCUGACUGGACCGGCAGGUACUGAUAUCAGGAAGCAGCUGACUGGACAGACAGGUACUGAUAUCAGGAAGCAGCUGACUGGACCAACAGGCACUGAUAUCAGGAAGGAGCUGACUGGACCGACAGGUACUGAUAUCAGGAAGCAGCUGACUGGACAGACAGGUACUGAUAUCAUGAAGCAGCUGACUGGACCGACAGGUACUGACAUCCUGGACCGACAGGUACUGAUAUCAGGAAGCAGCUGACUGGACCGACAGGUACUGAUAUCAGGAAGGAGCUGACUGGACCGACAGGUACUGGUAUCAGGAAGCAGCUGACUGGACAGACAGGUACUGAUAUCAUGAAGCAGCUGACUGGACCGACAGGUACUGACAUCCUGGACCGACAGGUACUGAUAUCAGGAAGCAGCUGACUGGACCGACAGGUACUGAUAUCAGGAAGGAGCUGACUGGACCGACAGGUACUGAUAUCAGGAAGGAGAUGACUGGACAGACAGGUACUGAUAUCAUGAAGCAGCUGACUGGACCGGCAGGUACUGACAUCCUGGACCGACAGGUACUGAUAUCAGGAAGCAGCUGACUGGACCGACAGGUACUGAUAUCAGGAAGGAGCUGACUGGACCGACAGGUACU